rnacentral:rRNA from 1 species
GAUGAACGCUGGCGGCGUGCCUAAUACAUGCAAGUCGAUCGGGUGCAGCAAUGCAUCAGAGGCGAACGGGUGAGUAACACGUAGGUAACCUGCCCUCGAGACUCGGAUACCCAGACGAAAGUUUGGCUAAUACGGGAUAACAACAGAAGAGGCAUCUCUUUUGUUUGAAAGGCGCUUUAUAGCGUCACUCUUGGAUGGACCUGCGGCACAUUAGCUAGUUGGUGAGAUAAUAGCCCACCAAGGCAAGGAUGUGUAGCCGAUCUGAGAGGAUGACCGGCCACAAUGGGACUGAGACACGGCCCAUACUCCUACGGGAGGCAGCAGUAGGGAGUUUUCGGCAAUGGGGGAAACCCUGACCGAGCAACGCCGCGUGAGUGAUGAAGGUCUUCGGAUUGUAAAGCUCUGUUACAGGGGACGAAUGGUCAGCCUAGGAAAUGAGGUUGGCUCGACGGUACCCUGCCAGAAAGUGACGGCUAACUACGUG